CCUACGGGAGGCAGCAGUGGGGAAUAUUGGGCAAUGGAGGCAACUCUGACCCAGCAAUGCCGCGUGAGUGAUGAAGGUAAUUUUAUUGUAAAGCUCUUUUCUUUGGAACGAAUAAAUGACGGUACCAAAGGAAUAAGCCCCGGCUAACUACGUGCCAGCAGCCGCGGUAAUACGUAGGGGGCAAGCGUUGUUCGGAAUGACUGGGCGUAAAGGGUGUGUAGGUGGUUUGAUAAGUUAGAUGUGAAAACUCAGGGCUCAACCCUGAGCCUGCAUUUGAAACUGUUUUUCUUGAGUGCUGGAGAGGCAAUCGGAAUUCCGUGUGUAGCGGUGAAAUGCGUAGAUAUACGGAGGAACACCAGUGGCGAAGGCGGAUUGCUGGACAGUAACUGACGCUGAGGCGCGAAAGCGUGGGGAGCAAACAGGAUUAGAUACCCGUGUAGUC
rnacentral:rRNA from 1 species